GGGUCGAUGGCGUAGCUGGUUAUCGCAUCUGUCUAACAUACAUAUCCACUGAAAUGGCAACACAGAAGGUCCUCAGUUCGAACCUGGGUCGACUCA